CCCCCCCCCAACCCCCCCACGUCGGACCUUCUCGAAAGGUCCGCGAAAUAUUGUCUGACAUGAAACCAGUCUGUGAGGUAAAAAAGGUUGGGGACCACUGCAUUACAUUACAUUACAGGUCAUUUAGCAGACGCUUUUAUCCAAAGCGACUUACAUUACACUUUAAACCCAUGGCUUUUUCAUCUACAAGAGAAUGCUACGUACCAGGGCCAAAUACCAAAGUAUUGUAAAGGACUCCUAACAUCCUGACCAUGGACUUUUCAAAACACUGAGGUCAAGCAAACGUCCCUGCUGCUUACUCAUUUAAACUUUUCUGCUCUGACCAAGGAUGAGGAGCCUGGAAAAUAACUUCUUGUCAGCACGCACAAUCACUUCUUUGCCUGCUGCAGAUUUUUUGGGGCUUUACCUGAUCACUGAAGGUCUUGAGUUUUUGUGAUUUUUAUGGGGGCAAAUAUGUCAACUGAAUUUGAUAACAAUCUCUGGUCCAGAAAUUAUUUUACGGCAUUUUCACCCUUUUCUGAGGCAAUUAGCAAAUCCUUCAUGGUUUCUUCUGUUGCUACUCUUCCAGAGACACACUAUGCCGUCUUGUUAUACAUCAAAAGGUGUUGAGCAUGGAUGCUUCAAUGAUGGAAGUGGUUCUGCUCACAGCCUUUUCAUCAGCAUCGAUGCGUGUGUUGUCAAGGUCUUUUCGUGUCCGUAGCUCAGGAGAUAUUCCUGCCAUUGAUUCACACUGUCUUGCUAUAGCGGCUCUUUCAUGCUGUGACAGUACCCAGUGAUGGGAGUCGUGUUGCAGGGGUAGAGGGUGCGCUGGGAACAGCAAGGUUGGUGGUCCGAGUCCCAGCUGCCCCAUGUCCCAAGUCGAAGUGUCCCUGAGCAAGACACCUAACCCUUAAUUGCUCCCUGGGCAAAAAUGUAAAAAAAACAUGGGUUAAAAAUGUAAUGAAAGUCGCUUUGGAUGAACGCGUCAGCUAAAUGACCUGUAAUGAUACAUUGCAGACCGAUUUUGUGUGAUCCCUGUCCGACCACCUUUUGUGACUUAACUUAAACAUAAUGUUAUUGUAUAUAUAUUCGCCUUAUUGUUCUUCUUGAACGCGGCUAUGUAUACAGCACUGUUUAGAAUCCAUUUGGCCCACUAAAUUAUGAGAAAACAUUAGUAUCAUUGAACUAAAUCAAUUAUAGAGAUGUUUUCAAUAAAAGCACGGGAUGUUUAAACAAAGGCAAAAUGCCUCAACAGAAGACUGAGGGUUGAGAGACUGGAGGCAAUGUUUUCUUUUUAACCGUACACACUGUGUCAACAAAGUAACAACGUAGUAUCUGAUUUCUACUUUUGGGAAGAUUGUGAAAUAUCAUUGCACUUAUUAUCCAUUUAACAAAUAUAUGUUAAGAUUAAAUACAAAUUAAGAAAACAAUGGCCUAAUGGGCUUAAUGACCGGGCCAGAACAGGCGUCACCCUGGACCAAACCCAUGGUUUGGUCCCCCCCUGGUUUCGCACCUUGUGGUAGCGGCGAGGUGGGCCAGCAAAUGGACAAACUUGCACUGGUUUUACUCAUAUUUGAUGAUCAGAUACAAUCGAAAUACUUCUCAGUGUCCCCUUUCAUUACAGUGCAUGUGUGAAAUAUUCAUUUUUGGGGGAUUAGGAAAGGCUCCACGCUCCAAGUAAUAAGUAGGAGGAGGCAGAUGACUCUAACUUCAUUAAAUAAAAUUCAUAAAUUUGUUGGUAAAAAAGUCAUUGUGGAUUAGUUUCAUAAAUGACGCCCAAUGGCAAAGAAAUUCAAAUGAAACCUAUUGUUCAAUGGAGGAGUCUCACAUACGUCACAUAAUACAAUGAAUCAAAACCAAUGGCUUCCUAGAAAUAGACCUUUUUAUUUAUUUACAACUAUUUUACUAGGUAUUCUCUGUAUUUUAGCAGUCCUUUCUUUGUUGGAUAAAAAAGGAUGAUUUCAUUUCUGUGUUCAAAGUAGAACCGCUAUCCCUUUCCAGUAAAAUCAAGGUGCUUUAAUAACCUGUUAAACUGCAGACAUGAGGAUUUUUUUCCACGUAAGAUGUGGGGAUCAGAGUUAUUUUAUUAACCUUUAUGGGUCAGCUAGAUGAAUCGAUAUGAAGCAUAGGAACACUGGGUUGAUUAAAUCAAACAGCAGGACGCAUCUGUCAAGUCCUCUCACUUCCUCUGGGUCUGAAAGCACAGGGGAAAUCACCUCUGGUAAAACCACCGCAGUGUCCCUCGUCUCCGUGUGGGUAAAAAAAAAAAAAAGGGGAAGAAAACAAGCCCGACCUUUUUAAGAUGUCAGAACAACCUUUGACAUUUGAACAACACUCAAUGGGGAAUAAUAUAGAUUUAUUUUAUUCUUAAAAUUGAUUUACACAUACGAGGUUCUUACCCAACAGCAGAAAAUCCAAUCAGGACUCAAGAUUAUGUGAUAUUGCAAAAAUAUAGAGACAAUAAUAUCCUGGUCAAAAGUAGUUUUGCAAGUAAACCUACAUUGGAAGUUUAUUUUGAAAUGAGACUAUUGGACAAGUCAAAAGUCUGUACACGCUUCAGUGACCAUUUAUCCAUUUAAUUGUGCGCAAAAAAGGCAGGCAUGCCUUUGCUACAUAUAAAUGCAUGCAUAGAACUCUCGUAUGCAUUAUUCCCAUUAUUCUACGUAAUAUAUCAAAAUCGAGGAACUUCCUGUCUCAAAGUGAUGCAGAAAAAUGAGUUGAUGUGUUUGCUACUUGACUGGAUUACUGUAAUUCUUAUCAGGCUGCUCUUGUAAAUCUCAUAAGCCUCUACAGUUGAUUCAGAAUGCUGCAGCACAUGGUAUUAAAAAGAACUAAGAAAAGGGAUCUAUUACUCCUGUAUUAACUCCUCUGCAAGAAUAGAAUUUAAGGUACUUCUUCUCACCUACAAAUCACUUGCUGGUGAGGCACCGUCUUAUCUUACAGAGCUUGUAACACCGUAUUGCCCUACAAGGUAACUGCCUUGUGGCUGCGCUCCGUAGAUGCUGGGUUACUUGUUGUUCCUAGAGUUUUAAAAAGUAGGAUGGGAGCCAGAGCCUAUAGUCAUCAAGCUCCUCUUUUGUGGAACCAGCUUCCACUUAGAUUUUUUUGAGGGGAGGCAGGUUUCGGGACAGAGGAUGUUGCAUGUGUACAGACUGUAAAGACCUCUGAGGCAAAUUUGCGAUUUUGUGCUGUACAAAAUGAAAUGAUUGUAUUUAAAAACAGAUGUCUCUUCCCACCUCAGUUUCACAGGUAUAUACUGUAAGUUCCCUAAGCCCCUGAACCAAUCAACACCAUAUUUAAUUAAACUUACGCUGGUUGAUUACAUACUCACAGUACCUUGACACAGGUGGUGUCAGUCUGGUAUUUUCUUUUGCAUUAGAUGUGUUAAACAGGGAUGUUAUUUGUGGUCCAACUUAUUUCCAAUAGCUAUCUUACAGAAUAUACUGUGAUUGCCUUCAUUUCUGCUUUUUAGUUUAUUGAAACAUUGUUAUACUUUAUAUGUAUUUCAAUGGUUUCCACCGUCUUGAUUGAGCAAUAAUGUUGGCAUAUCUGUCCUUCUGUACUGACUGAAAUAUAAAAAACAAAUGUUCAACCACGGCUAUCAUCAUAUUAAAACCCGUCCAAUAGUUAUGAUUAUGACAACUAGGGCUGUCAACAUAAACGCAUUACUCUAUGCGAUUAAUGUGGCCGAAAUUAAUACAACAAAAUAUUGUAAUGUGGUUAACAGACGUUUGUUGGUUUACUUUCGGUCCAAAUUGACCGCACAAAUGAGCCAAAUGAGCCGCUAGCUGCAGUCAGUUAAUUGAGAUUAAUGAAUUUCAAAAUGUGCGAUCCAUCCAUCCAUUUUCAAACCGCUUAUCCUGCACACAGGGUCGCGGGGGGGCUGGAGUCCAUCCCAGCCAACUUCGGGCAAUAGACAGGGUACACCCUGGAUUGGUCGCCAGCCAAUCGCAGGGCAACACAGAGACACACAACCAUUCACACUCACAUUCACACAACUACGGGCAAUUUAAAGUCCCCAAUUAACCUGAUCCCCAGAGCAUGUCUGGACUGUGGGAGGAAGCCGGAGAACCCGGAGAGAACCGACACAGACACGGGGAGAACAUGCAGACUCCACACAGAAAGGCCACUGGGCGGAAUCGAACCCAGGACCUUCUUGCUGUGAGGCGACAGUGCUAACCACCACGCCACCGUGCCACCCAAAAUGUGCGAUUAAUUAGUUAAUUUCUUUUUAUCUAUGGACAGCCCUAGACAAAACAUCUGCAAAAUUAGAUAUUCCUCUAAAGCAGGGUUGACAAACUCAUGUUCGGUUUGGGCCAGAUAGUGCCCACUUUGAUGGAAGGCAUCUACCGGCACUGUGUUGAACGACAUGGUCCUCCGCAUGCACUCACUCACAGAAUGCGACCCCCAGUGGACAUUUUAGGAAUAGCAGCUACCUUUUAAUAGAAAUGCAAUUUAUUACCAGCGUUGGCUUCAAGUUUGGUGUAGUUAUCCCUGUACAAAAUCUCAAACACAGGAAUAAAGCAGAAGUGUAGCGUGAAUGGCAUAGCACUGGGCUUCAGCCGACCCUGGGUUAACUGUGUGUCAUCUAGGACCAUAUUGCAUUCUAUGGGGAAUUUUGGGAUCCGGUUUAAUCUCCUUUUGUGUGAUGUGUUUGCUUGACUGAUAUGAUCAGUCGCUUUGCAGCGACUGAAUACUCAAGUUGGUUAGUAUCCACCACGCUGCUCCCCCAAGGUCAGCGUGCUUGUUGUUGCUGUACCCUCCCAACCUUCCUUCAGCCUUUGCAUGGAUAUAAAAACAAGCCCAGACAAAUUCUGUGUGGUGCCUGCGCAGAUCAAUUUAACAGUCGACAUGUGUUCAAGAUAGAGAGGGUGAUAGACACACAUGGUUCAAUGGAGAUUGAGAAGAGGGCAAUUUGGUUUGAUAUAAGAUUGAUAAUGUGCCAAAGGGGAGAUAGAAUCCUAUCAAUCAGAGCCUUUGCCCUUGAAUGUCACCCGAACAAGGCACACACAGCUACUGGAGUUUGGGUUUCAAAUCUCAGAUCAGCUGUUGCCCAGUUACAGACUUCCCCGCUUGAACCAUGAUCAUCUUUAACUUCUGGCUGCUGAUCAGCCUCUUUCCUCCCCGUUGCUGCAACCCGAGUGGACUUAAAUGAGUUCAAGAGGGAUCAAUAUGCCCGGUAAUCAUAUUACCCUUAUGAAAAUGACUACUUAUUACAUGCUGAAACUUUAAUGUUGCCAGGGGGGGAACAGACAGUAGGAAAGUGGCACAUAAUUUCCUGCCCCUGUGAUUAGAACAGAAGUUGGUGACUUCCAUGAAGUUGGUGAAAAAACAUGAAUAAAGUACCACAAAAUAUUAUAGAAACAAUAUUCUAUUUUAAUGUUUGUAGUAGCUUAAACACUUAAUUGUACUUAUUUGAAUCUUCACAACUUUAGAUGUGGGUCCCGUCAACAGUUCAUAGAGCUGGUUGGCAGUGCAACACAGCAUGGGAGAAAGUAGUUCAUCAGCUCAUCGAUUAAUCUUAGGAAGGAAAAAAAGUUUGCUUUUGGUGUUAAAUAUAUCCACCAGAUCCUGUUGAACCCGUUGUUAAAAAGGUGACAAUCUAUACAAACUGAGUAACACACAAGAAAGACGUUCUGCAAAAUGUCCUUAAUUUUGGGGUCAUAAUAAUCCAAAUUAAACUUUGUAAGAUCUUUGAAGGGAUAAUUACUUGGAUGACUACUAAUAACCUUUUUUUCACAGCACGAUGACCCUUGUGCUGCUUGCAUGAAACCACGUGUCUUUGUUUUUCAGCUUUAAAAUCUGUUCAUUCAGGUGUAAAGUGAUGUUGCCUAAAAAGCCACACAAUUAGUAGUCUUACAAGAGAAGCUUGUGUGCAGCGUUAUAUUUGUGGAUAUUAACACGUUUCAGCUCUAGUCUCUUCUCUAAUAACAUCUGUGGCUUCAUUCCAGAUGUGAGAGAGAAAAUGGUUGUUUUUUUGUCUCGUAGGGGCGCUUCACAUUAUCGCUUUUAAUAAUCACCACGGUCUCUGAACAUGCGAGACAUCCUGGCUUUGAACUGCCCUAAGGGGGAAUCAACAUAAGAGCUUGUCUAUUGUUGUUUAAAGGCUGUGGUCUCUCUGUCCGCUCUCUUUUUGGAGAAUGUCAUGUGAAAUAAAUUGUUAAUUGACAAGCGUGCCCUUUCGUAAAUAACAGGCCUCCUAGACGCACCUAAACGCUGCAGAAGAAUGUGAACACAAAUCAUCACCAGCAUAAAUUCUGAUGUUGAAACAGGCAUCGCGUCCAGAUCGCCGACUUCCACUUGUGCUUGUUUUACGCAAAGUCGACCGAACAACAAGGCGAGCAGGCAAGUGGGACAUAUUAAGAGGAUUGUUAGGGAUGCAGCUGGCGUCUUUUGGGAACUAGCAACACUCACACAGUUCCCUUCAACCCAUUAGGUCCUGCACAAGUCUGACGAAUUGGGCACUAUAAUGAGUGCAACAUGGAGCUCAAGACCUCACGCCGUAUUUAUGGGCAGAUCUGUCAAAUCAAUGAGCAACAAAGCCAUUAGCACAGAAGGGAGAGGCAGCGCUGCUCCACUGGCCUAAUGGUGAAAGCCAAUGUGUUGUUGCAUUAGUGGUCGAUUUAAUAAAGAAGAGCCGUUGAAAGCAUUACCAUGUGCCAAUUACUUCAAGGCUUGAUGGUCUGCUCACUGUAAUUUAAGGUCAUUUGGCAGCCUGUGGGGACACAGAGGAAGUGCAAACUACCAUUGGACCUCUCCUGCUAAAAGUCUCCAUCCACACAAUUUGACAAGGAACGUCAUGUAAUCAGCUGUACACGUGUUGCCCCUAUGAGAGCUCACUGUUACAUAAAACGGGGGAAUUAAGCUCCACGCUGCUCUGUGGUCCAUUUCUGGCUUGCAAAUUAUGCUCUCUGCUUGACUCUUCCUCCUCUGGCCUCCACCUCUUCUUCCCUUCAUUUCUGUAAUUUGUGUGUUUUUGUCCCCCCUUUUGUUCGCCUUUGCCUGUGCCUAUUUUUGUCUUUCUGUCUUGCACGGUGGCCGACCCCUUAUUCUGAUUAUGUGCUGUUGAGGCGAAGGGGUUCAAAGCAUAGUUACUGGUAGGCACAAUGCAUCUCAUACUGGACUGAAGGGCGCCUUUUCCAUCAGUAUCAUGAUGCCGAGGGGAGCGACAAACAAUGAGCCACCUCUCAUCAACGGCCCAGCCGUCCUCUCUUCUGUCCCGCUGCCUUGUUCUUUCAGACGUUCAAUAUCUGUCCCUUCUCCUUACUUUCUACUUGCUUCUCCUCAUUUCCUCUUCCCCAUUCCUAACGAAGGGCUGACACAUCGCCUCCUGCUGAUGGACGACAGUGUGUGACUCAUGAUCCUCCCGGGGUGUGUCAUGUAAUUAUCAGAGGCACGUAGCGAUUGCAUUGGGGGUAUAACUAACACUGCUUUCACAACCGUAGUUUGGUCCGUUUGUUCGUGCUUCUGACAAACAAACCAAGAGCUGUAAGCAUUACAUCAUAUUUAACAACAGGCACCUCACUGACUAGUCAAGUUUUGGCAGUUGACGUGGCAAGCAUGUGGAUAGAUGCACGAAUGUUUUGCUUUUUAAUGUACACAUAAAAGCAUGGCGGGGAUGCGGCCGUGCAUGGACAGCGAAAGGCGGCACCCGUUCUCUGAGUGGCCACAUCUCCAAUCUGAUGUCAAACGCACAGCUGAUAUGUCGGCAGACACAAUAGAAGCCCAUAUUUAAACGAUUCUGUAUGAACAGAACACUAUUGUUGGUUACUUGUUCUGUCAUUAAGAGUUUAUCACGAUAAAUGAUUAUUAUUGGUUCAAAGAGCCCACUUAACCCACACAAACACUGUGGUUUCCCCGUCCCAAGUCAGAGGACGUACAAUAGUUCAAGUUAAAAAAGGUGGAUUUAUGCUACUGAUGGCCUACUGGUCAGAUGUUAAGAAUUGAAUCUGUUGGUGAGUGGUUGGUGCCCCUAGUGAAGGUGGUGAUGGUAGUAAGUAUCCAGGGGGCCUUAUUUACCAGCAGUAAUGUCUGCAUUGUACUGUUGUGGUGAAGAUUGGACUAAGCACAAAGGUCUCAAUUUAACAGCGGGUAUAUGUUCUCUCCGCUUUGGCCAUGACCUCCGGGUAAUGAACAAAAGAACGGCAUUGCGGAUACAAGCUGCUGAAAUGAGUUUUCUUUCUCCGGGUGUCUGGGCUCAGAGGGUCUGGAGCUGCUGCUUUCUCCCUUUUGUUGAUCGCAGUCUGUGAGGUUACUCGGGUAUCCAAUUAGGAUUCCUCUGUGUGGCCAGCUGAGAGGAGGCACACUGAUGCUAUUAUAUAUUUUAUCUUGGGGGUCUUGCAUACAUCGAGACCCCGACCUGCUGCAGAAAAUGGAUGAAAGCUGAUGUGACAACUACGAUGGUUGGGAGUUUAAAAGUCAAACUCCAGUCAAUCAAGGGAAAAAGCCCCGAAACGUACUACUCUUUUUUUUUUUUUUUUAGAUUAUCAUCUUGACAGUUUUGUUUUUGUUACUCUGAAGUGACUGAAGGAACAAGAAAGAUGACAUCCAACCACAGUCCUUAGCCAGGCUCUGAGCCUUUUUUCCACUUCAUCAAUAGUCUUCUUUUUUAAUCAACAUUUAAUUCAUCGUCAUUGAAUUCCAUGUAUGUCAACUCAUGUUAUCUGACUAUACUCGAUUAGAAGUCAAAGUGCAUCAACACAAUUAUAAGUCUUGAUCAAUACAGAAAUGAUUAGUUCAUUUUGUAAGUUAUUGUGCCAUUUAGAGUCAAAUAGCUCAUAAAAAAUUUUUUUUUUUAAAUAUCUUUCAGGGGUAGUUCUUCCAUUUUACAUUUCCAUUCCAUUUGAAAGGUCCCAUUGUUCAAGUUGGUUGGUUUUGUGUUUUCAUCUUCCUACUAAAACUCUCUCACUUGGUUUUUAACUAACAUUUUGGUCACCCACAAAUGGUUUAUUCAGUGUUGGGAUGUGCUGACAGGGUCCGAACCAUUGUCAGAGUCGGGGAAACGUGGGAAACGUGUUGCGUCUCUGGCUGCGUCAUUUCAGGAAAGGCGUCUCUCCCAUUCUAUUACCAUUUAAGCUUAUCAAUAAACCUUUUGUAGUUUGAAUAGUAACUGUUGUGAUAUUGUAACCUCUAAAAUAUAUUUUAAUAACAACUACAAUUGUCUUGUGAUUUCAGAGACCAAAUAUAGCUUUUCAGUCUUUGGUCUGAUGUGUCAGUCGAAGGUAUUUCACACUUUGAACAUAGUGGAACUUGUGAACAUUAAAACACUAACAUAUCACCCAGACAAUAUCGGAACAUUGUAUGAUUGAAUGAGCAGAAAGUCACUGUGUUAUUGGGCUGACUCUUAUUUAUGUUUUCUUUUAUCUCUUUGGCUUAUAAAAUCAGCUUCAAGUCACUUAGCUAGUUUAACAACCUAAUUCUAAACACAAUGUCUAAAUGGAUCUUUUGAUGUGUACCUCUAAUGUACACGUUGAUAACACCUUGAUAAAUAAAAGUUUAUGGAAGACAAGGUUUCAUAGAAGUGCCAUGGUUUCUCUGUGAAAUAGAAAAAGAAACUUACCCUGUUCACCCCAAAAUCUGAUUACUGUACCCUUCCAAAAGAAAAGGUACAGUACCAUCCUUUGUAUCUGACCUCCUGCUUGUCAUUUAUCUGAGAAACAAAAAAAAGUCAUCUUUAGUAACUUAAAAAGACAUAAGCAGAGCGGCAAACCAAGGCCAGUAAAGAUAAAUGAAACAUGUCAGCACAGCAGGAGACGAUCUGCACAGGAUAUGAAGCUUCCGCUGGCUGCCUCUUUCAGACGGGAGAUCUGUGGCUUCCAAUCAGGGAGAAACGGCCCCGGAGAUGUUCGAAAAUUCGAAAAUUAAGGCUAAAACCAAAUUUUUGUCUAUAACUAAAUUAUAUAUAACUUGGUUUAUUUAACACACAACCAUACCCUCAUAUCUAAUAAAGAAAAAUAAGACCGUCAAGGUCAACUCUUAACUCGCUCAGUAAAUCCACAAAUCAGAAGAACAAUACCAAAAACUGCUUCUAGUUUCACGGCUAGUCUCAGCCUUAAAGCUGUUGUGCAGUCCAACACUUCAAACUGCACAAGCCUCCAGCAUGGACCCCAAUGUCAAACAGCGUUAUUUGCACUGCAAGGCCAAACCUGACGUUCAGACUUUAUUUCAUGAACUCCACUCGAGAGGCGGUGUUAAAUGGAAAAUGGAGAUUCCAGCGAGCAACAUUAGUGUAAAGGGCCCCAAGGACUGAGUUAUUUCUAUUCCUCAGAGGGCCGUGGGAGGGUGGUUUUGUAUGGGGGGGCAUAUUUUUGCUUUUAUUGUUGCAUUUGAAUGGAUUCACAGAGAGAUUGGAAGCCUUGAAGGAGGGCAUCUCCCCUUUCACAAAGACACAAAUGCUCUCAGGGCCUCACAGGUUUUUUUCUGUUCUGAGG
ensembl:lncRNA